rnacentral:lncRNA from 1 species
UUUUUUUUUUUUUUUUGGACAGGGUACCUUUCUCCAAAAAAAAUGAAAAAUGAUAUUUCCCAAACUUGUUUCCUAAUCUCAUUCCCAGCAAGACACUUUUCUUCUUUAGUGAUGCAGAUCCUUUUACAUAUUAAACUAAAAUAUAUAGUUUAUGUCCUACUUUCAAUUAAUGUCAUUACUAUCAAGUUCCAGGCUAAUAAAAAUAGGAACUUAGGGGACCUCCUCUUUUGGCUUUGGUGCCCCCCUCCCUCUGUCUCUGUAGGGGGAGCUUCUUCCUUCUGUCUUUUCUCUUCCUCCUUGCCUAUUAAACUCUCCACUCCUUAAAACCACUCCACACGUGUCCGUGUUGUUUUAUCUAAACCGGCCUCAGGAAUAAGAACCCUGGUAUUCCUCCACUCAUCAGAGCCAUAUCAUUUUGGUGCAUGGGCCGGAAAAGGAAAAUUCAAUCAUCAGACAUGUUGAGUAUGGAGCGGAUUUCAACUUCAAAUCUGUCCUUUAAUCUCAAGGCUCUCUUCCAGCUACCCUGUCACCAAACUUUCUAUUGGUAGUCUCUUACCCUCUCUCUGUGUGUCUAAUGUACAGGAAUCUUUACAGUUCAGGGAAAACAGGUCUGUUAGAAACAAUCGUGAAUCACGGCAGGCAGUAACUCAAUAAAUGCUUCUCUCUCUCUGUUUUCUCUGGCAAGCACAUGGUAUUUCUAAGCCACCUAGUAGAAAUCAGGUUCUAGGCCUCUUCUGGGAACGGGAAGUUUCUGCUUUUAACAGUUAGGAGUAAGAUGUCUUCCGUAGCCCAAUUUUAGUCUCGAUCUUGUCCCACUGGCAGGAAAACGGCCAUUUGGCUCCUAUGUUCCUUUAAGGCACUGAUUUUGUCUCCUAUUAAGACAGUACUUAAUUAGUAAGGGGAUUUUUCAGUCCGGAAGUUAACCAGAACCAUUAUUCUACGAGUAAAUGCUUUAGCAUGGGCUAUAAUAGCAGAAUACACAGUUCAAUCUAGCACCCCCCCCCUUAAAGGGGCCUUGCCCAAUUACAUGGUUUUUCUUGAAAUACGUUUUUUGGAAGGCACACAGGCCAUGCAAGUCUAGGAGGUCAAAGGGAAAUAAAAGGCAGAGAACUGAUUGAUUGGGGACAGCGUGAGUAAGGAACUCAGUUCCUCUGGUGCCAUGGCUUGGAGGGGCACAUUGCAGUCAUGGGCGGCACACUUAAGCGGGUGCCGGGAAUCCAGGAGCCCUGGAGAGAAAAUAGUUGGGGGGAAAAUAGUUGGGGGGAUGCCCUCUAUUGUUUUCAUCUCCAACCUGGAUCACAUUAUGAAAGGAAGCAGACUAAAAGGAUAUUUAUUCUCACUUCUCUUUCUAGAUGGGUAACACUCCCCUCGAGUGUAUGUUGAAGCAUUGGGACUCCUUCGACCUUGCAACUUUGAAGAAAAAGUGGCUUAUUUUCUUUUGCACAAGGGUAUGGUCUUUUUGCUAGACCUUUGCAAAUGUUGCAAGAUCAACCCAGCUCUUUUAGCAACUAUAUCGGGCAGGCCCAGGAAAACAACUUCCCCAAAAUUAAAAAAGUAACUUUCAAGGAAAUCAUUCUGAUGGUCCCUCUUAUUUGGGGCCCCUUCAGUGACCUUAGGCAAGUAAAGGGAAAUUGAGGCUGAUUUUCUGAUGACCCUGAUAGGUAUACAGAAGCUUUCCAAAAUUUAACUCACAUAUUUGACCUCAUAUGGAGGGAUGUUAUGUUGCUGCUAAGUCAAACCCUCGCUGCAGCUAAAACAGGCAGCUCUGCAAGCAGAAGAAAAUUUUGGAGAUGAGCAAUAUGUCUCCUAUAGUGGUCCAGAAGGGAAAAGAGAAAAAUAGGGAAGGCAAAGAAAUAGGGGACAAACCAUUCCCAAUAGGAAGAGAGGUAUUACCUCUUGACAACCCUAAUUGAAACUCCUUUCUAUGGUGUUUUUCCUUCUUUUGUGGUUUAAAAUGGCUUCUAUCUCUUUUAUAAUGUUCUUCCAACCUAGGAAAAGUUAAUUUGCCAAAUCUUAAAAUGCUUGGCAUAGAGCUGAGCUAGGGGAAAGGGAACCCAGAAGCCUCAUAUGCCGGCAAAAGGGUAAACAUUUCUUACCAGUUGGGCUUUUGGCUUCUCUCUCCCUGUGCCAACUGGUAAAAGGGAUAAUAAGGAUCACUGUUGACGUUCUCUGUAAAUGUAUAAUUAAUGAAAAAGGAUUUGUAAGGUUGGUCUUAAGCUGCAGACAAUCUUGUGUGCUUUGCAUGUCUUUCUGUAUCCUUCUGUCGAAGAAAGGGAAUCUUAGGUUAGGAUGCAGGCCCAGGACCCCAUAAGCCUGCUGUUCAAGCCAGCCCAGCAAAGCGGUCGGUGGCAAAGUCAGCUACAGGCCUCCAUCUUGUUUUAUGUCUUUGGGAACGUCAUCUGUAACCGCAUGGCAAUACUUUGUUUUAGUCUCUGUCAUUUUACAAUGGUGGCUGUCUUUUUGUGCUAAAUAAGAUAAGCCAGUUUGUCAAUCUGGGUGGUGCCAGCUGAUCCAUCAAGGGCAGGGUUUACAAAAUAUCUUAAGCACUGAUCUUGAGAGCAGUUUGGGGAGGGUCAAAAUCUUGUGGCCUCCAGCUGCAUGGCUCCUGCGGCUAGUUUCUUGGUCUGGUCCCCAGGCAAGAGGGAAAUAUAUCUUGGGAAGCCACUGUUAUUGUCUUUGUGUUAGACUAUAGACUGUAAACCAGGCUCCUCCCAAAGUUGGUUUAGCCUAUGCCCAGAGAUGGGCAAGGACAACUUGAGGCCUGGAAACAAAAUGAAGUUGUCUGGGUGGGAUCUCUUUCACUGUCUCAGUGACAGUUUUGCAAUGACAGUUUCAAAAGUUAUCACUCCUUUAAAAAUACCUUGUAC